rnacentral:rRNA from 1 species
UACGAAGGGUGCAAGCGUUACUCGGAAUUACUGGGCGUAAAGCGCGCGUAGGUGGCUUCGUAAGUCCGUUGUGAAAGUCAAAGGCUCAACCUUUGAAAGCCGAUGGAUACUGCGGAGCUAGAGUACGGAAGAGGCGAGUGGAAUUCCUGGUGUAGCGGUGGAAUGCGCAGAUAUCAGGAGGAACACCAAUAGCGAAGGCAGCUCGCUGGGACGUUACUGACACUGAGACGCGAAAGCGUGGGGAGCAAACAGG